AGAAGAUGAGGCACCACCAUUUGACUUGAACUCAAACACAAGACGUUCAACUCGUCUAUCUUCUU
rnacentral:tRNA from 1 species